GACGAACGCUGGCGGCGUGCUUAACACAUGCAAGUCGAACGGAAAGGCCCUGCGUUUGUGGGGUGCUCGAGUGGCGAACGGGUGAGUAACACGUGAGUAACCUGCCCUUGACUUUGUGAUAACUUCAGGGAACUGGGGCUAAUACCGGAUAGGAGCUCCUGCUGCAUGGUGUGGGUUGGAAAGAUCCGGCGGUUGGGGAUGGACUCGAUGCUUAUGAGCUUGAUUGUCGGGUAGUGGCUUACCACGGCUUUGACGGGUAGCCGGCCUUGGAGGGGGGCCGGCGACAUUGGGACUGAGAUACGGCCCAGUAGCGUACGGGCGGCAGCAGUGGGGAAUCUUGCACAAUGGCCGGAAGCGUGAUGCAGAAAUGUCGCGUGCGGGAUGACGGCCUUCGAGUUGUAAACAGCUUUCGAAUGUGACGAAGAGUGAGUGACGGUAAUGGGUAAAGAAGCACCGGCUAACUACGUG
rnacentral:rRNA from 1 species